AUAAACAUAAGUUAAAUCUAAUAUUAAAGAAAUGAUGCCUAAAUUUAAUUAUGAUGAAAAUAGAGGGAUCAAAGUUGUAACUAUCUAAAAAUUUGAUUAAUAAAAAUAACAAUUAAGAAAAAACCCACACACAGUACGUGUGUGGGAGUUCUCUGCGAUCGAACAAGGCAAAAAGGAGAAGGGGAAACCCUAGUUCAAGAAAAUCAAGCAAUUCAAUCCAAAUUCAUAAGCUAAUUCGGUGCAUGGCCCCUAAAUUGUGAAUUGCUAACCCUAAUCUCUUAAGUGGCGUAAAAGAAGAAGGUACAAGCACCAAGAAAACGGAAGGAGCGCAAGAUCGAGGUAAAGCACCUCUAUAGGCGAUUUGGAGAUAUGGAGCGAGCACAUGUUCAAGCCUCAUUAAACCAAGCGCUUCCGCAAGUUUACAUGCAUGUUUUUGGGUCCACGUUUUUGUUACUUGUUAAACUUUGUUAAAAGUUUUAGAUUUGAAAACUUGUUGUUUUGUUUGGGAUGGUUUAGUGUAAAAAGGGUCUUAUGUGAACGUUGUCUAUUAUGUCAAAAACAGGGGUGACGUCCGUUUUACGAACGGGUCAUGCCCAAUUUUUGUAAAA